rnacentral:rRNA from 1 species
AAUCAACGCUGGCGGCGUGCCUCAGACAUGCAAGUCGAACGAGAAAGUCCCCUUCGGGGGGAUAAGUAAAGUGGCGCACGGGUGAGUAACACGUAGGUAAUCUACCUUCGGGUGGGGAAUAACCCAGGGAAACUUGGGCUAACACCGCAUAAUGCAGCGGCACCACAUGGUGACAGUUGUUAAAGCGGGGGAUUUUAGGACCUCGCGCCUGAAGAGGAGCCUGCGGCGGAUUAGCUAGUUGGUGAGGUAACGGCUCACCAAGGUAACGAUCCGUAGCCGGCCUGAGAGGGCGGUCGGCCACACUGACACUGACAUACGGGUCAGACUCCUACGGGA